GACGAACCGUGCGAACGUUGUUCGGAAUCACUGGGCUUAAAGGGCGCGUAGGCGGGCUGACAAGUCUGGGGUGAAAUCCCGCGGCUCAACCGGAGAACUGCCUCGGAUACUGGGCGUCUCGAGUGUGGUAGGGGUAUGCGGAACUAUCGGUGGAGCGGUGAAAUGCGUUGAUAUCGAUAGGAACUCCGGUGGCGAAGGCGGCAUACUGGACCACCACUGACGCUGAUGCGCGAAAGCCAGGGGAGCGAACGGG
rnacentral:rRNA from 1 species